CUAACACAAUGUACAUUAUUCUAAUACAUAAAGUACAUUAUUCUAAUUCAUAAAAUUCAACGAUAUCAUUUUGGACAAUAGUCCACACAGCUGAAAUUUGCUGCCACAGCUUUUAGGUUCAAUCCCUCGUUAUUCCAUCACCUCAUCAGAUGUAGAAGCAAAUUUUGAAUUAUCUGAUUCUAGUUGAAGGUGAUCCAUUUCAUUUACAAAUUACAACACUACAAUAACCCAUAAGGACUUCCAGGCUGCACUUGUAUCCAUAUACAAAGUGAAAAAAAGAAA